rnacentral:rRNA from 1 species
CCCCGGAACCCCCAGGCCCCUAUGGGGCGCAACAGGCGAGAACCUUGCAAUGUGCCGAAGCACGACAAGUUAAUCCGAGGUCUCCUGCUAAAGGAGUCUUUUGUCAGUUGUAGAAUCACUGGUGAAUAAGGGGUGGGCAAGUUCUGGUGUCAGCCGCCGCGGUAAAACCAGCACCUCGAGUGGUCAGGAGGUUUAUUGGGCCUAAAGCAUCCGUAGCCGGUUGCAUAAGUUUUCGGUUAAAUCUAUGCGCUUAACGUAUAGGCCGCCGAAAAUACUGUGCAGCUAGGGAGUGGGAGAGGUACACGGUACUCGAUAGGAAGGGGUAAAAUCCUUUGAUCUAUUGAAGACCACCUGUGGCGAAGGCGGUGUACCAGAACACGUUCGACGGUGAGGGAUGAAAGCUGGGGGAGCAAACCGGAUUAGAUACCCGGGUAGUCCCAGCUGUAAACGAUGCAGACUCGGUGAUGCAUUGGCUUGUGGCCAAUGCAGUGCCGCAGGGAAGCCGUUAAGUCUGCCGCCUGGGAAGUACGUACGCAAGUAUGAAACUUAAAGGAUUGGCGGGGGAGCACCACAAGGGUGAAGCCUGCGGUUCAAUUGGAUUCACGCCG